rfam:Selenomonas sputigena ATCC 35185, complete genome.
AGCAGUCUUUGGGGCGGGGUGGAAGUCCCCACCGGCGGUGAAGGAAGCGCUUGCGUUGUUCGUGCUUCCUGCAGCCCGCGAGCCUUUGGGCAGAUUCGGUGUGAUUCCGAAGCCGACAGUAUAGUCUGGAUGGGAAAAGACGUGC